AUGAUAAUAACAUCCGAACUCUAUUACCUUAUAAAGCAUCUCCUUAUAGUAUAUUUGUUGUACUUUGUGCUUUAGUGUUUUUCUUUGAUUUGCCUGGGCUGUUCCUUUGCUUUUUUGGUUUGAACAUUUUGUGUCGGUGGAAGGCUUGAAAGGGUGACCCCUACCAAACUCUCUUACUACAGAUGUUUUGUUGGGCAUUCUCUGGCGACCUCAUGUAUAUAUGAUUACCAUUGUCUUCCUUAGUUUGUCUACGUUUUUUACCUACCCUUGCUAACAGUUUGCCUCUUUCUUUCUUAGUACAUAAGCUUUGCUGGGCAUUUUCAGGCGACUCAGUACAUAAGCUUUGUUGGGCAUUCUCUGGUGAUUUUCUGGCAACCUCAGGUAUAAUACGCUAUUACGAUUGCAUUCCUAAUUUUAUCUACGUUUUUUUUUAUUUCUUGUUGUUAAGGCUUUGUUUCCGUUGAUGAUUUCGUUUUACGAUUUAGAAAUUUGUACAAUUUUGUCUUUGUUUACUCUUUUUUCUUACUUAAUGUUUUUAGACCACGACUGUUUCUGUUUUUUUUUUGUGUUUACCAAUUACUUUUGAUGGACGAUUUUGUCUGACGUUAUUGUUAUUUGUUAGUUGGUGUGUUUAGACCACCAUUGUUUCUUCUAGGUUUUGUGUUUACAGAUUGCGUUUGAUGGUUCAGUAUGUUACGUUUGUUUUCUGGGCUACAAUUGUCUCUGUUGGGUUUUGGGUUUAUUGAUGACAUUUGAUGUUGGCUUUGAUGUUUAUUUGGUCUGUUCUUUGCGUCUUAUCGUUCGAUUACAUAGUUUCACGUGUUUGAAAGUUGUUGGAUUUUGUGUGUUGUGCCUUUAUCGAUGAUGAAUAUUGUGUUGUUUACGGUUAUUGUUUAUACAUUCAUUUACAUAGUUUUUGGUUAAUUACAUGUCUUUUAGUGUUCUUUGAUUUAGUUUUUUCAGUUUGGUCUGGUUUCUAAUGAUGACUGUUUUGUUAUCAAUAAUAGAGAUCUUUGGCAGUUUACUUUUUUUGUCUAUGAUGUGAUGCCGAGACGUUUGAUCUUCAAUGCAUGUGUUUUCAGUUGUGUUUGGUCGAUGAGGAUUACGUAUUAGUUGUUCGAGACUGUUUGUACUUUAAUUUUGGAUGUCUUUUGUUGGUUGUUGCCUAAUAAUUGUGUAUUGAUGGGUGUUCAAUGUUUGUGGAUGACUGUUUACUUGUACGACACUGUUUACAAUGUUUGUUUUGGUCUAUGAUGUUGUGCUGAGACCAUUGUUGUUGAAUGUUUCUAUGUUGUUGGUUAUCUGGUUUGUUAGAAUAAGCUUUUGUUGCAUAUGCACAAAAUCUCUUGGUAAUUAACAUUAUAUUAAUAUUGUGGCAUUCCGAAUAUGUUAAUAUUGCAAGGUAUCUACAAAAUAUGAUGGAUCAAUGUGUUAAAUAGGGAGUGCACGCUAGUAGUAUUAAAGAAUUGAAGAUGCCCAGAUGCCGAUGAAAGAAGCACAAUGAAGUUAAUGAUGAGUUCGAUGUUUUUUGGCUGAGAAGAUUAGGACAUUGACAGCCAUACACUUUAGAGUAAAUUGUUAGGACCUGAAAGUUGAUGUGUAAAUACUCAAUAACUUGUAUUUGGAUUUUGUAUGUAAAUAAGUCUAAAGUAGGGACUUCAUGUUGUGAAACACAUGCUUUAGCAACAACACCCAAAUUAG
rnacentral:lncRNA from 1 species